AUCCCCCUAUCUCCAUGGUCCAUUCUAAACAUCCCGCUUCUUGCUCUGGAAAGGCCGAAGGCAGGGAGAAAUCCUAACGGAAAAAAGGCCGAGGGGUGGUGGGAAACAAUGGGGAAACGUAGGUAUUGGCUACUGAAGACAGAGCCCAAGGAGUGGUCGUGGGAGGACCAGCGAUCCAACGGCGGCAUCUCGCAGUGGGACGGCGUCAAGAACCGGCAGGCCCUGAACCAUAUGAAGGCUAUGCGCAAGGGCGACCGUUGCUUCUUCUACCACUCCGGUCCCUCCAACCGUCGGAUCGUCGGCGUCGUUGAGGUCACGCGACCCUGGUACGCCACCUCUGGCGAAGAGGGUGCGGUGGACGUCCGGGAGUUGGGGGAGAUGAGGUGCCCCGUCCAUCUCAAGGACAUCAAGGCGGAGGCAGCGAUGAAGGGCUUCGCCCUUCUAAGGCAGCCCCGCCUCUCCGUCGUCCCCGUCCCGGAGGGCAUCUGGGAGCGCCUCUGUGAGAUGGGCGGAGGUUUCGCCGACGACGGGGAGCCGGCGGAGGAAGAAGAAGAUUAACGGGAGGCAGAGGUGUUCAUGCCAACUUCUUUCAGGGAGAGCAGCAAUUUUCUUCAAAGAGAAAAUCAUGAACCUUGGAUUAUUUGGAGAGAAUCAGGACUUUUAAAAAGGAGCUGGUUUUGGAACUAUUUUGAGAGAUGAGGUGAUAAACUGAUAUGAGCUUUUGCAAGUUGGUUUCAUGCUGAAGGGAUCCUAAAGGGUAGGAGUGGUUUUUGGGAAGUUUAUAUUCGGGCCUCCUCUUGAGAAGUACUGAAUAAAGUAAGCUGCAGGAAGAGGCAGCAAAGGAGGGAAAGCAGACAGCAGUUAGCAGCAACCUGAAGAAGAUUUUGAUGUCCUGUUUUGUUAGGGGAAGAAAAGGGACGGACUGGUAUUUUUGCAUGUUUGUAAUAUCUAAUGUUGCAAUGUAUAGAUGAUGGAUGAUGCAGCUAGCAGGUUUUUUUUGUGCUUCAAUAUAGAUUCUGCCACUUAUUUGCCUUGUCCAUGAGAUGGAAAUUUAAUCUAGUUCUUUUUU